GAUGAAGAACGUAGCGAAAUGCGAUAAGUAAUGUGAAUUGCAGAAUUCAGUGAAUCAUCGAAUCUUUGAACGCACAUUGCGCCCGCCAGUAUUCUGGCGGGCAUGCCUGUCCGAGCGUCAUUUCAACCCUCAGGCCCUGGUUGCCUGGUGUUGGGGCGCCGCGCACCCUCUGCGGGCGCGGGCCCCGAAAGUCAGUGGCGGGCUCGCCAGGACUCCGAGCGCAGUAAUUUUCUCUCGCUGUGGAGCGCCUGGUGGGUUACCAGCCGUAAAACACCCCAAAUUCUAAAGGUUGACCUCGGAUCAGGUAGGAAUACCCGCUGAACUUAAGCAUAUCAUAAGCGGAGGA
rnacentral:misc_RNA from 1 species